GUGCUUGCUUUGGCAGCGUGUGUACCAAAGGGAAAUGAUGCAGAGAAGAUAAGCAUGAUCCCCAGGCAGUGAUGACAUGCAAAUUCAGGAAGUGUUUCACAUUUUA
rnacentral:snRNA from 1 species